AUGGGAACCGCACGGCCGCAAAUCUGACUCGCCGCCGUUUCUGGCGGCUUGGGAUUGCGGAAGUGC
rnacentral:ncRNA from 1 species